AUGCGCCACCGCGCAAGAGGAAAGCGAGCGACUCCCCAGCGGCUGCAUUCUUCGUGGCCUCGAACUGGGCUCGAUUGACUCCUCCAGCCGUCCUCCAAUACAGAUGAGGAGGCAAUGGAUUGGGCCCCUACGAUCUAUGCGGAGGAGGAGCUCAUGGACUGGAGUCCUUUAUAACGCAGGUUGCAGCGUCAUCUGGAGGAGCCUCCUCGUCCUCUUGCAUCCCCAUGCCCCCCAUCCCUCCUGCCCCUCUCUUUCCUCCCUCUGCACCUCCGGCCCCGAUCCAUUCUGCCCAUGUCUUCCAUGCCUCGAUUCCUCCUGCUCCUGCCUCUCAGGCCCCGAUCCCUCCUGCCCCUGCCUCUUGUGCUUCCGGGACAAAGCGAAGCAAGGGCAAGGAAGAAGGGAGCGCGCCCCCCCUCUGUGACCCUCCUCCAGACCCAGGCCAGGGAAGGGCAGGCAAGA